rnacentral:rRNA from 1 species
AGAGUUUGAUCAUGGCUCAGGACGNNNNNUGGCGGCGUGCUUAACACAUGCAAGUCGAGGGGUCUCGGGGGCAACUUCGGGGCACCGGCGAACGGGUGCGUAACACGUGAGCGACCUGCCUCCCCGCGGGGGAUAGCCGGCCCAACGGCCGGGUAAUACCGCAUACGCUCGUCGGGGCACCUGCCCGGGCGAGGAAACUUCCGGGGCGGGGAGAGGGGCUCGCGGCCUAUCAGCUAGUUGGCGGGGUAACGGCCCACCAAGGCGGUGACGGGUAGCUGGUCUGAGAGGAUGGCCAGCCACAUUGGGACUGAGAGACGGCCCAGACUCCUACGGGAGGCAGCAGUGGGGAAUCUUGCGCAAUGGGAGCAAUCCUGACGCAGCGACGCCGCGUGGGGGAGGAAGGGCUUCGGCUCGUAAACCCCUGUUGCCCGGGGCGAACCAUGGGUUUCGACCCAUCUGACGGUACCGGGUGAGGAAGCACCGGCUAACUCCGUGCCAGCAGCCGCGGUAAUACGGAGGGUGCGAGCGUUGUCCGGAAUCACUGGGCGUAAAGGGCGCGUAGNNGGAUGCAAGCGUGUGGUGAAAGCCCGGGGCUCAACCCCGGGUCGGCCGUGCGGCUGGCGUGCUCGAGCACUGUAGGGGCGGGUGGAAUUCCGGGUGUAGCGGUGGAAUGCGUAGAGAUCUGGAAGAACACCGGUGGCGAAGGCGGCCCNNUGGGCAGGAAGGCUCGCAAGAGCCGGCUGACGCUGAGGCGCGACAGCGUGGGGAGCAAACAGGAUUAGAUACCCUAGUAGUCC